AGUGCAUGUUGUUACAUAAGUUUGAAGCCUUUGUUCUGCUGUGUAAGCUUCAUGUUAAGACCUCUGUUAAAUAUGCCUCAGCUGUAGCCCAAAGCCAAGGACUCCUAUUCAUAGAGGCACCCAGUUGUUCUCACCCAAUAGCACAGAGGGAAACUGAGGAGGAUGGUCAAAGCGGGUGAGGUAUUUAUAGUUGUGUAAAUUAUAUUGUGUUG